rnacentral:piRNA from 1 species
UGAUUAUGAAAUCAAAGGGAUGAAGAGC